GAUGAACGCUAGCGACAGGCUUAACACAUGCAAGUCGAGGGGCAGCAUAAAAGUAGCAAUACUUUGGUGGCGACCGGCGCACGGGUGAGCAACGCGUAUGCAACCUACCUAUCAGAGGGGAAUAACCCGGCGAAAGUCGGACUAAUACCGCAUAAAACAGGGGCACCGCAUGGUGAUAUUUGUUAAAGAAAUUCGCUGAUAGAUGGGCAUGCGUUCCAUUAGGUAGUUGGUGAGGUAACGGCUCACCAAGCCGACGAUGGAUAGGGGAACUGAGAGGUUGGUCCCCCACACUGGUACUGAGACACGGACCAGACUCCUACGGGAGGCAGCAGUGAGGAAUAUUGGUCAAUGGGCGAGAGCCUGAACCAGCCAAGUCGCGUGAAGGAAGAAGGAUCUAUGGUUCGUAAACUUCUUUUGCAGGGGAAUAAAGUGCAGGACGUGUCCUGUUUUGUAUGUACCCUGAGAAUAAGGAUCGGCUAACUCCGUGCCAGCCGCCGCGGUAAUAC
rnacentral:rRNA from 1 species